UCCUUGGUGGCUCAAAUGGUAAAGAAUCUGCCUGCAGUGCAGGAGAUCCAGGUUUGAUUCCUGGGUUGGGAA
rnacentral:tRNA from 1 species